rnacentral:rRNA from 1 species
CCAGCCGCCGAAGGUGGGACAGAUGAUUGGGGUGAAGUCGUAACAAGGUAGCCGUAUCGGAAGGUGCGGCUGGAUCACCUCCUUU